CCUACGGGAGGCAGCAGUGAGGAAUAUUGGUCAAUGGACGGAAGUCUGAACCAGCCAUGCCGCGUGCAGGAAGACGGCUCUAUGAGUUGUAAACUGCGUUUGUACAAGGGUAAACCGGAAUACGUGUAUGCAGCUGAAAGUACUGUACGAAUAAGGAUCGGCUAACUCCGUGCCAGCAGCCGCGGUAAUACGGAGGAUCCAAGCGUUAUCCGGAUUUAUUGGGUUUAAAGGGUGCGUAGGCGGCUUGAUAAGUUAGAGGUGAAAUGUCCGAGCUUAACUCGGGAACUGCCUCUCAUACUGUUGAUCUACAGCGUAGCUGCGGUAGGCGGACUGUCUUGUGUAGCGGUUAACUGCUU
rnacentral:rRNA from 1 species